rnacentral:misc_RNA from 1 species
GAUGAAGAACGUAGCGAAAUGCGAUAAGUAAUGUGAAUUGCAGAAUUCAGUGAAUCAUCGAAUCUUUGAACGCACAUUGCGCCCGCCAGCAUUCUGGCGGGCAUGCCUGUUCGAGCGUCAUUUCAACCCUCGACCUCCCCUUGGGGAGGUCGGCGUUGGGGACCGGCAGCACACCGCCGGCCCUGAAAUGGAGUGGCGGCCCGUCUGCGGCGACCUCUGCGUAGUAAUACAGCUCGCACCGGAACCCCGACGCGGCCACGCCGUAAAACACCCAACUUCUGAACGUUGACCUCGAAUCAGGUAUGACUACCCGCUGAACUUAAGCAUAUCAAUAAGCGGAGGA